UCGCUUCGUCCCGUCCCUGGAGGAGGUGCCAGCGCUGUGGGCAGGGCAGUCCUGGAGCAGCGGUGGUGUCAGACUCCUCCUGCUCCGCACGGAUGUCACCCGGGGAGGUUUGCUUCAUCGGACGGGUUCCCAGGGCCGAGCGGCUUCGUUUUAAUCCCCGGCCAGGAAAAUGCAUCGCCGCUUGGUAGUGGAGUCGGGCCGGGCUGGGGCAGACCCCCUGGGUCUCGGCUGAGGCCUUCCCGCCCCUUUCCCCGACCCACUGCAGGCACGGCUGCUGCCAGCAGGGGCGGUAACGCUGCCUCCGCCUCCUCCUCCUCCUUCUGGUUGUCUUUUCUGAGAAAAUCUCCUCCCAAAGCCCACGUGAAGCGCAAGAGGGACUGCGUGUCCCCCCACCAGUGUGAAGUCGGGCAGGUGAAUGAGUGGCCGCCCAAAAUGAAGUGUGGGAUUGCUUCAGUCCAGGUAUGCCAGCUCACACUGUGCAUAUUUAUGAGAAACAAAGGCAGGUGAGAGCUGCUAUGAAACAGAAGCUCUUGGAAAAGUCUCACUCAGAAUUUUCCUAAUGGAAUUUGCGUUUGCAAUGCAUACCCAACAAACAGCAGUGGAAACUCAGCCCUACAAUUCUUCUGUUACUCACAGGCUGGCUCAUUGUGCUUUGUAGUUCUGUACAACAAGCACAUGCCCUGAAUACAUUUCUGAAGAUCAGCCUGUGAGUAGUUGAAUUUGGUUGGCCUCUGCUGUAACUAAAUCAUCUGGAUUUUGUAUUUUACUGAUUAAUAACUGCAGAUCUUUUGACAAUGUUUUAUUGGCAUGCCAACCCCAGUAGCUGCAUUACAGAAUUAUACUAUGUUAAAUGCUUUUGAUAAUCAUGUUCCUCAUAGUUAUUCUUUCCCCAUAAGAGCUGUGUGCCAAGGAACCUUACAAAAUCGAUUGGCAGUGGACUAGCUCCUUCUCCAGCACCAUAAAUGCUGCUCCAGUUUUGAAGGCGUGUGUUGCUCCAACACAACAGAUGAAUCAGCCAGCAGAGAGGACAACAUUCAACACCUCCAGGAUUUAAUGCAUUAAAUGAAACAAUCUGCUGGUGGUGCCUGGCUGGCUGAGUGGUUUAAUUCCCUGACAGGAUGGAUGUGACACCUGUUUCAAAGCAUUAUUGUAGGGAUAAGUUUAUUCCUUUUUCUAUACAUGUUUAUAGACAUGCCCCCAAAUUACCCUGCUCUACAUCCCACAAAUCCAAGUGGACACUUCUAGCUUUGCCAGCCCCAGCAGAAGUGGUUUCUUGAGCAAGGGGGUGGAAUGUGAGUUACUAAUGGAAGAUUGUUGAGGAAAAUUAUAAACAUGCUCAAGUUACUUGCAGCUGGGGUGUAGAAAAAUAUGUAUACUAUACAAACUGUUUAUCCAUGUGCACUUGACAAGUAGAACAUGUGUGUUCAGAUAACAUAGGCCUGUGAUGGACUCAGAGGGACCCUGUCAAACAUGCUUGAGAUUCUUGCCCUGCUAUGGAGAAGAUCAAAGCACAGGCAUAGACCUUGUCUGUUGAUUCCCUGAAAUUUCCAGGCAAAACCAGAAGGGUCUGUGGUCCUCUCUGAGCUCCACAGUGUGUGCAUUCCCACCUUAGUGUCCCUUUACCUGGUGCUGCUUUGGGCAUCCCGUCUGAGGUAACAAAAAGAAAUAACUUUACUCUUCACGUCUGAUCCACGUUUUUGCAGUGGUUCCCAUGUUCUGCCUGUGCUGUUGCACCCAGGCAUUGUCCUGUCCCAGCUGGCACUUCACACAGCCCCUGCUCACUGGGAUCACACCAGCUCACUGGGGACACACCAGCUCACUGGGGACACACCCGCUCACUGGGAUCACACCAGCUCACUGGGGACACACCAGUUCACUGGGGACACACCGAUUCACACCAGCCCAGUGUUCCAUCUACUCCAGCCCAGUGUUCCAUCUCUGUCCCAGUCACAGUGCAGUGCUCCUGCACGGACCCCAGCGGGGCAGUGACAUCUCCAGAUGUCAGAGGUUGUAUUUCACUUCAGGAACAGGACCAAGUGUUUGGAGUCACCAGGGAAUUAACUGAGUGCCUGUAGGAACCCAGCAAGUAGCCCUUUGAUGCCAGCAGCUCUUCAUCCUUUGGAAGGUGUCUGUGUUUCUGGAGGCACCACUGCCUUGCAGGGCAGAGGGGGGAGCAUAUUCAAGCUUGAUUCUUGUUACAAAUGACCAAGACUCAAUAUUCUGUUAAUA